UCGGAUAUGGUGUAAAGGCUAACAUUGCCGCCUCUCACCGUGAGAGACUGAACGCGGCAGCUCGGGGUUCGAUUCCCCGUAUCCGAA